ACACACACACACACACGAUACUUUAUUUUCAUACGUCUCCCUAUUCUUUUGAAAUCCUCACGUAUAUUAUUUUUGUUACCAUUUUAAUCACAUGUAUCAACAUGAAACGACUUGAGGAUGAAAUGAACUGGUGACAGAGGCGGUACUUCCUAUUUGAGGGAAACCAGGAAGACUGGGCUAUCAGUUGUGGAUACCUGAAAUUUCACUGGAGCUCAUUCCUCAGCCAGAACUGCCAUCUUCCAUGAAUUCGCCAAAAUGACUGUCACCAAAGGAAAGAGGAGAGACACCUGUUAUAUGUUCUGUAGGCCUUUUAGAAAACAUGGACUCGUUCCUUUGGCCACAUACCUGCGAAUCUACAAGAAAGGUGAUAUUGUAGACGUCAAGGGAAUGGGCACUGUUCCAAAAGGAAUGCCCCACCAGUGUUCCCAUGGCGAAACUGGAAGAGUCUACAGUGUCACCCAGCAUGCGGUUGGCAUUGUUGUAAACAAAGAAGUGCAAGAUUCUUGCCAAGCGAAUACUGUACAUACUGAGCAUAUAAGCACUAUUAAGAGUCGAGAUAGCUUCCUGAAACGCAUGAAGGAAAAUGAUCAGGAAAAGAAGGGAGCCAAAGAGAAAGUCACCUGGGUCAGUCGAAGCGCCAGCCAGCCCCACCCAGAGAAGCACACUUUGUGAGAACCAAUGGAAAGGAGCCUGAGCUGCUGGAACCCCUUCCCUAUGAAUUCAUGGCAUGAUAAGUG